GAUAUUUCUACACACACACACACACACACACACGUGCGCGCGCGUAAAUUUUAUAUAUAAAAUAUUGCAAGUAAACAAUGUAUAGAUAAAUGUGUAAUUAACAUAAGAAACGUAUAAAAAUAGAAAUUUUCAUCGACCAAAUCAAUAAAAUAUUUCUAUAUUUCAUAUUAUAUUUUAUAUUUUAUACUAAAUAAAAUAUGAAAAAAAAUCUCAAUCUCGAAUUUCUACAAUACAUAUAAUGAAAUAGAAGAUAUGAAUUUGCUAUAUUUGAUUGCUGUUAGAUAUGGUCUUAAUAGAUUAUUUCAUAUACAUAUAUACAUGUAUCGCAUUCUAUUUAAAAAAAAUCCUACAGACGCCGGGUAACAAAUACCUAUCUCUGCAAUAAAUACACCGGUGGAUCGAUAAAGUGCAAUGUACACAUACGGUUUAUUAACCUACUUUCCUGAUUCCAUUCUAUCCUUGAAGAGUAUAUCGUCACGUUGCACAACAUGCUUCGAUAUACUUAAACAUUCAAGCCAGAAAAUCCAUAGUUAUGAAACGUGCUUUCUGAUCUCAACAACGGUCUUAAAACAAGAUAUAGCAAGAGCUUCCUUAUUUUGUGAUGCAUCACGAUUUUAAUUAAAAAUCUCCAAUUAUCUUUAAAGCGCGAUAUAAAUUUGUCUUUAAUGAAAUUAAAUUAAACGUAUGAAAGGCAAAUAUCGAAAAUGUAUUAUAAUUUCUAUUGACUAAAAAUAUAAGUGAGUAUUUAUAACUGAUUAGAAUUAUUUUUAAUAUUUAAUAAAAUUUAUUUCGUAACAGUUAUCUUGUAAUACGUAUACUUAAAAGAAGUACAAUAUAUCAUUAUAAUAUUAUAUAUUUUAAUAGAUCAGCAGUAAUUCACAAUUCGCAGAAUUCUUAAGGAUUUAAAAGUACCUCGUAAAGAAGACAUUACAUGUGUAAGCGAUGAAAAUCAAGAAUAUAUCUAACAAAACUUGUCGUCAAGUUUACGCGCAUAAGAUUAUCUUUACAGUAGAGCAGGGAAGUAAAUCCGCUGUUAUAGUUGAACGUACUUUUUGCACAUUUCUACAUUUUUAUUCUUUUUCCUUCCUCUCGCAAGGUAGGAAACGCGCACUACGCCUCUUUUGUUUUAAAUGCAUAAAGUGUAGAAUAUGCGUGUAAUGUGUGCGCGAACGGAGCUUAUACCUCUCUUUGGCGAAUAUCGAAUCAACAUUACACAAAAAGAAUGCACUCUGCAUGUUCCUCGACCGUACAUUUCUUUAAAUGUAUUUAAAUGUAUUCAAGAAACAUUCCAGUAAAGUAAAUUUUUGAUCUUUUAAAGAUAAUGUUUUAAAGAUAAAAGAAAUUUGAGGAUAAAAGAAAAUUAUGAAACUUCCUUCCUACAUCCUACGAGAAGCUAUUAAAAACUAUAGACGUUUUUAACAAGUCUCAUCUUGUUGGAAUUUAUGUAUUAAGCUUAUGAAUCUAUCAGACUGAGCUUUCGUGUAUUUUUACGUACUGAAUUCAGACAGAAUUCCAUAUCUACUUAUAAGAUACCUUUUUUAUAUAACGUAAGAAGGUAAUAUAGUCCUCAAGUACAAUGUUUCAAUGAGGGAACAACAAGAUUGGUCGUUUUGGCAUUAAAACGGUAACCAACUGCCGGCUGCCGACUCGAGCGUAUCGCGAAUCGCGGAUCGCCCCAUCGUACGCAAAAAGUCAUCGACCGAUCUUACAGCCGGCUGGUAUCGUAACAUGCAACCGCCACGAUCGAUCGACUAUAAUGCGACUAUAACGUCGCUCGUGGAGUCGGCAGAGUGACUUCGAAGGGAGCUUUGGCAUUAGAGAGAACAUCGUUUCAUUUUGUACGCUCGAACGCGCCUCGCCGGAAAGAUCGCCUCGUUAUGCGACACGGGCGUCUCGAUCUCGAUCAUGCAUUUCCUCUUUCGCUCUUCGCCGCUACCGAUCAAGAUGCGAUCACGAGGACUUGGCGCUGAAGCGAAUCUCACCUGGACUUAUCGCUCGAAGUUACCGCAUUCGCUCCUCGUCGAAGGAAUAGAAAUGUUUGUUAAUGCGAGAUUCUUGAAUAUGCAAACAUUUGAUAAGUCUAUAUAUGCACCUGGCAUUGAGACGCUACACUGUCUCACUUAAUAUUGCUCAGUCAACACGCGGAAUGUUAGCUGACGAUGACUAGUCAAGGUUCAUUCCGGAGCUAUUAUUCUAUAUGUUCUCGAGCAUAGUCCGAGGAUCAGAAGGCGCAAAUGUUGCGUCCAUGUGAAUGUAAGGCAGGAGCGAUGCAGGAUAACGAGAUCUCGAAUUUACACGCUUAACUUUGUCACGCUUGCUCUACUUAAACAAGAUAUCUGCUCGCCUUAACGCGUUCUAUUGUGCUUUUCACAUGUAACACAUGUGUUCAUUUGCAAGUUCCGGAGGAAGAAAGGGACAAAGACACAAAGGGAGCAAACUUAGGUACGCAAUCACGCUUCGAAGGGACGAAAGUAAAAUGCUCCCUCACAACUCUACCGUAGCCCGCCUACGCUUUCCGCGUUUAGAAGAAAAAAAGAAAACACGUGAUGCGAGGCUCGAAAAAAAAAACAGCAAGAUCGUGACGAAUCUUUCGUAACGAACGAGCCGCAUCAUAGAUAUGCAUCGCAGCUGCACGGAUUCGUAGCUUCCGGCUGCGGGCCAGAUCGGAGCGUGCUAUCGCGCGUAAAAAGUCGUCGACCCAUCGCGAUCGCCACCUUCGAUCACGUCAUCGUCCUCAGCGACGACGUUCCUCGUCACCUCGCGCGCAUGGAACGCGCGCGAGGAAGACGGCUUCGUUCGAUACUCGCGUACGACGAUACGAGGCGUGAGAAAUGUGUACCCACGCGCGCGCUCGGUACGACUUUUCUCGUACGCAGAAAGGCUCGACGCGGCAGAGAGGCUCGGUCCCUUUUUCCGGUCUCCUGAAAACGAAUCCCGCGAAUAUCGGGCUGCUCUUACGGGCACCUCGAGCUACGUGGCUGCGCAACAUCUGGUGGGAUUUCUUUGGUUCCGGGGCCUGCGACGAAAUCCAGCCCUACGCUCCGUCCGGCAGUCUCUCGCAGUCACCCCUCCCUUCUCCCCUGUCCCUCUCUCUCUCUCUCUUUCUCUCAUUCUCAUAUACACGCACACAGCCGACGCGGCUACCACGAGAAGCUGGCGUAAUGUAUUCCCGCACCCACACUACGUCGCCCCCGAGUAUGUACCGUGUAUCGAUCCCGCGAGUACACACGAAGACCGUGAGCGCCAUCAGACUCUCCUCUACUUCCUUCUACUUUCCUCUCUCUUUCUCUUUCUAAAUAUAUAUAUAUAUAUUACUCAGUCAACAUAUAUAUAUAUAUAUUUAUGUUUCAUUUUUUCUCUCUCUCCCUUCCGUCUCUUUCUCUCUCUCCCCCUCUCCCUCUCGAUUUUUUUCUUGCUUAUCUCGAAAAAACGUUGCGACGCUGACUUCCUCGCGUCCGAAAGAAACCGCAGCGCGUUACCUCGCGAACACACCGCUCGACGGUAUCUAUCUGUACGUACGUGAAUGCAUACACAUAUAUAUAUAUCUUUAGGGCGAGUCCGAGACAUGCUCCACCGGCGGUGCCUCGCGUGACAGAAGCUUACUCCUCCCGAUCCUCCCGCCCGCUCCGCGCCCCUCGCGAGACGAGAGAGCCUCGUCACGAGAUCGCGAUCGCCGACUUUCAGCGAGCGGGUCUCGCGCGAGCGGCGCGACGAAAUCACAGCAGCUCUUCUCUUACCUCGAUCUUUUUCAGUGACAAAUCCGUACGCUCGCGUACCGACGUAAAGCACAACCAACAAUGCACAACACGCACUCAACGAGGGCUUGAGCCCGACUGACGAGUGGAAUGAAGUGGGGCGGCGUCGCGGCCAAUGGCGUCCCCGCUUGCGCGCGAUUUCCACGAAGCGCGGAGAGAGACGGAGCGUACUCCAGGCUGCGAUUGCGUUCGUUUUGCCUGCACUCUCUCGCAAGCGGGUGCAUUUGAACAAGAUAGAGGUGUACGUUCGUUCUCUGAAAAGAUAAAGAGAGAAAGAAAAGAAACGAAGUGCAGAAGGUGCAACUCCGGACGGACUUGGUGCACGCAUACAAAGAAGACGUAGAAAAAACUGAUGCUGAGUAAUAAUUACGAGGAAGUGAUGAUAAAUAAAGUGGCACUUACUAUACG
rnacentral:lncRNA from 1 species